GUUAUUAUAAGGGUUUUGAAAACCUUUGGAGGGAAAAAUUUCCCAGCUUUGCGUAAAUCACUUAAAUAA
rnacentral:tRNA from 1 species